rnacentral:rRNA from 1 species
UACGGAGGUUGCAAGCGUUGUUCGGAAUUACUGGGCGUAAAGGGCGUGUAGGUGGUUGACUAAGUCAGGUGUGAAAGCCCUCAGCUCAACUGAGGAAGCGCAUCUGAAACUGGUUAACUUGAGUACGGGAGAGGAGAGUGGAAUUCCUGGUGUAGAGGUGAAAUUCGUAGAUAUCAGGAGGAACAUCGGUGGCGAAGGCGACUCUCUGGACCGAUACUGACACUGAGACGCGAAAGCGUGGGGAGCAAACAGG